GACGGAGGAUGCAAGCGUUAUCCGGAAUGAUUGGGCGUAAAGCGUCCGCAGGUGGCCGUUCAAGUCUGCUGUCAAAGACCGGGGCUUAACUUCGGAAAGGCAGUGGAAACUGAACAGCUAGAGUAUGGUAGGGGCAGAGGGAAUUCCUGGUAUAGCGGUGAAAUGCGUAGAGAUCAGGAAGAACAUCGGUGGCGAAGGCGCUCUGCUGGACCAUAACUGACACUCAGGGACGAAAGCUAGGGGAGCGAAUGGG
rnacentral:rRNA from 1 species